rnacentral:rRNA from 1 species
UACGUAGGGGGCUAGCGUUGUCCGGAUUUAUUGGGCGUAAAGAGCUCGUAGGUGGUUCGGUAAGUCGGAUGUGAAAUCUCCAGGCUCAACCUGGAGGGGUCAUUCGAUACUGCCGUGACUAGAGUUCGGUAGGGGAGUGUGGAAUUCCUGGUGGAGCGGUGAAAUGCGCAGAUAUCAGGAGGAACACCCGUAGCGAAGGCGGCACUCUGGCCGAUACUGACACUGAGGAGCGAAAGCGUGGGGAGCGAACAGG